AUUGCCCAAGGCCUCUUGGGCUGGACCCACAGCUGCUGUGGUUGAGACUUCCUUGGUGAACUGGUCACAGACAUGCAGCAACUUGGGGCAGGUAUGGGGUGGCAGGCUUACAUUGCUGGGCUGCAUGACCUUGGGUCAACUCUGGUUCUCUCUGGGCCUUGCCUUUGUAGGCUGACCUGGUGGUUCCUUGUGCCUGGGGUGUUAAUGUUCCUGGAUUGGUGGUGGAACCGGUCUGGACCUUGGCACCUCUAGGCCAUGUUCCAGGGACGCUACUUUGGUAUCCAGCAGCAGGGUGUGGUCUCUUGGUUACAGGCUCUUGUCUGGUGCCGGGAGUCAACCCCUAUUUCACUGCCUCAGGAACCAUCUCUGGGACACCCUGUCUGGCUCUGAGUUUGCAUACAGGGAACAGGGACAGGGUAAGCCAAUGGACACUACCCUCUGGAGGAAAUUGAAUCUAAGAGAAGGGAGCCCCUUUUCCAGGUUCAGAGCACCUCCCACCUCCUGCCCAGGGCCCUCCCAGGGCUGCAUGAACUUUAGUCACCUGGUGACAAGCCGAGUCACUGUGACUUUUUGCUGCCAUCCCACCAUCCUUCGGGCCUGGCUGGACCUCUAGCAGAGGAUUGCCUGUUCUAGACCCUAUUCAGAUGUCUCCAACUGCCUCCACUGGGAUGCUAGUUGCCCCCAGCUGAUCUCUUGCCCCCUCUGGGAUGAGGUAAGGACAUGGAUCCUCAGUCCCUACUCCCUCUUUCCUGCCUCUGUGUCUUGGAGAUGCCCACCCCCAGAUCCUAAUCCCCAUCCAGAGGCCCCCUGAGGAGCUCUGCAGGGGUUGAAGGCGUGGCCCCACUGCUUGGGGGCAGCCAUUCUGUCGCCAGAACUUUCCCAGGCAGACAAAUUGGCUUUUUCCUCCCUGCGCGCGCACCCAUGUCCAAAACUAUCUUCUGAGGAAGAGGGGGGCUCUCUCCUGGGCCCUUGCUGCUGCCCUGGGUCUCAGGUAAACCUACCAGGGUUAUAAGGAGGGGGGGUCUGGGUUUGAGGCCCAGUGCUGUAUCUGACCCACUCUCUAGCCUCGGUUUCCCC
rnacentral:lncRNA from 1 species